rnacentral:rRNA from 1 species
UGUUUCGGCAAGGGGGUCAUCCCGACUUACCAACCCGAUGCAAACUGCGAAUACCGGAGAAUGUUAUCACGGGAGACACACGGCGGGUGCUAACGUCCGUCGUGAAGAGGGAAACAACCCAGACCGCCAGCUAAGGUCCCAAAGUCAUGGUUAAGUGGGAAACGAUGUGGGAAGGCCCAGACAGCCAGGAUGUUGGCUUAGAAGCAGCCAUCAUUUAAAGAAAGCGUAAUAGCUCACUGGUCGAGUCGGCCUGCGCGGAAGAUGUAACGGGGCUAAACCAUGCACCGAAGCUGCGGCAGCGACGCUGAUGCGUUGUUGGGUAGGGGAGCGUUCUGUAAGCCUGCGAAGGUGUGCUGUGAGGCAUGCUGGAGGUAUCAGAAGUGCGAAUGCUGACAUAAGUAACGAUAAAGCGGGUGAAAAGCCCGCUCGCCGGAAGACCAAGGGUUCCUGUCCAACGUUAAUCGGGGCAGGGUGAGUCGACCCCUAAGGCGAGGCCGAAAGGCGUAGUCGAUGGGAAACAGGUUAAUAUUCCUGUACUUGGUGUUACUGCGAAGGGGGGACGGAGAAGGCUAUGUUGGCCGGGCGACGGUUGUCCCGGUUUAAGCGUGUAGGCUGGUUUUCCAGGCAAAUCCGGAAAAUCAAGGCUGAGGCGUGAUGACGAGGCACUACGGUGCUGAAGCAACAAAUGCCCUGCUUCCAGGAAAAGCCUCUAAGCAUCAGGUAACAUCAAAUCGUACCCCAAACCGACACAGGUGGUCAGGUAGAGAAUACCAAGGCGCUUGAGAGAACUCGGGUGAAGGAACUAGGCAAAAUGGUGCCGUAACUUCGGGAGAAGGCACGCUGAUAUGUAGGUGAAGUCCCUUGCGGAUGGAGCUGAAAUCAGUCGAAGAUACCAGCUGGCUGCAACUGUUUAUUAAAAACACAGCACUGUGCAAACACGAAAGUGGACGUAUACGGUGUGACGCCUGCCCGGUGCCGGAAGGUUAAUUGAUGGGGU